rnacentral:rRNA from 1 species
CAGACUCCUACGGGAGGCAGCAGUGAGGAAUAUUGGUCAAUGGACGAAAGUCUGAACCAGCCAAGUAGCGUGCAGGAAGACGGCCCUCUGGGUUGUAAACUGCUUUUAGUUGGGAAUAAAAAGAGGGACGUGUCCCUUAUUGUAUGUACCAUCAGAAAAAAGGACCGGCUAAUUCCGUGC